rnacentral:rRNA from 1 species
GAUGAACGCUAGCGGGAGGCUUAACACAUGCAAGUCGAGGGGCAGCACGAGGUAGCAAUACUUUGGUGGCGACCGGCGCACGGGUGAGUAACGCGUAUGCAACCUACCCUGUACAGGGGGAUAACCCGGAGAAAUUCGGACUAAUACCCCAUAACGAUAUUUAGAGGCAUCUUUGAAUAUUUAAAGUUCCGUCGGUACGGGAUGGGCAUGCGUAAGAUUAGCUAGUUGGUAAGGUAACGGCUUACCAAGGCAACGAUGUUUAGGGGUCCUGAGAGAGUGAUCCCCCACACUGGUACUGAGACACGGACCAGACUGCUACGAGAGGCAGCAGUGAGGGAUAUUGGUCAAUGGGCGCAAGCCUGAACCAGCCAUCCCGCGUGAAGGAAGAAUGCGCUAUGCGUUGUAAACUUCUUUUCCAGGGGAAUAAAAUUCUGUACGUGUACGGAAUUGAAGGUACCCUGGGAAUAAGCAUCGGCUAACUCCGUGCCAGCCGCCGCUGUAAAAC